AUUAACGCUGGCGGUAUGUAUAAUACAUGCAAGUCGAGUGGGUUUAGACCCACGGCGAACGGCUGAGUAACACGUUGGUAGUUACCUCGCACUCGGGGAUAACCUUUAGAAAUAGGGGAUAAUACCGGAUGGUCCCGAAAGGGUAAAGAUUUAUCGGUGCGAGAGACGCCUGCGGCCUAUCAGCUUGUUGGUGAGGUAAAAGCUCACCAAGGCUAUGACGGGUAGCUGGUCUGAGAGGACGACCAGCCAGAAUGGGACUGAGACACGGCCCAUACUCCUACGGGAGGCAGCAGUAAAGAAUCUUCGGCAAUGGGCGAAAGCCUGACCGAGCAAUACCGCGUGAGUGAUGAAGGUCGAAAGAUUGUAAAACUCUUUUCUGGGGGAAGAAUUCUGACGGUACCCCAGGAAUAAGCACCGGCUAACUCCGU
rnacentral:rRNA from 1 species